AACAUCCCAUGUGAUUAUUGUAAUAUGGUCUAAUUAUUUCCACUCACAUUUUUCUAAAUAUCCUAUAAACUUUUCAUUAUAAAUAUAUGUCUGUUUAAAUAUUAUUAUAUGCAAUACUACUGUACAGGACUGACUUUUAGAUGGAACCAUUCAUUGUUAUAAUUAAUGACUUUGUGCCAAUAAAUAUUUUGUAUUUAAAGAAAAGUAUUUUGCUUCUCGUCUGUACAUUAUUAUAAACAAUGUAAACAUUAAUUUUAAUUGGAACCGAAACAUGUAAAAACGAGAACUUCCCGGAAUAUCAGACCGUAUCCGGAUUCGUGUUUCUUUUAGAGUAAUUGUAACAUUUCCGCACUUAGGUUGGAAAUUUGAAAGACGCCAAAGGUCGAUUAAUAUUUACUUUAUAGAUGCAAGACGAGUGACAGCAAGUUUGAGGAAUGAAGAGCAAAAGGAUAUAGCAGUCUUUAUAUAAAAUAGUUCAGGAAUCCAGUUGGAUAGAAGAGCUUUUCAGUUAAAAGUAUUUCCUGGGAAUUAACAGGAACUUCUAUAAAUGUUUUUCUGGAAUAGUUAUUCAAAGGGGCAUUGAAGUGAAGGAUUACAUUAGACAAAUAUUGCUGAAGUGGUAAAUUCAGACCCAAGAGAUGUACAAAAUUUCUACAAUACAUGUUACAGCUGACUUUAGCUACUUAAUCACACUGACAUUUGUGUGCUUUUAUGUUUUCUUUACAUAAUUACUACAGUUCUAUUAAAAUUAAUAUUUUUAUUCUUUGUCACAAUUAUUACUAAAAAAAAUACAGCAUUUUAAUAUGG